UUUUAUAUGCAAAGUGCGGCCCUUUUCUUUGUUCUUUGAGAUUAUUUAUGAGUGAAGCCUGCUCCUACGGCACAAUUGUUUGACAUCCCACCAAACCAUAAUGAUAUCGCUGCAGGUCAGAAGCAAACUUUUUCCAAUACCCUUUUUUUGCGUGACAAUCUCCGCUGUCGCGGCUGUCAGUUUGGUUCCCCUCGACGCAACUUCGGAUUUCCUCACACGAUGUACAGAGUAAAAACAUUAUUGAAAUUGUAAUAUACAUUUAGUUUAAUUGCUAAACUACAAGUGAAUUAAAUUUCAAAGAAUUUGAACGACGCACACAACUUAUAAAGGAUUUAUUAUUUUACAAGGUUGUCUGUUGACUACUGUAUAUAAAACCCCUUCAAUAUAGGUGGAGUCGAGUCAGCAAAAAUAAAAAAAUUAAUAUAGUACCGGGCACCUCUUUUGGGCCACUUAAAGACUGGCUACCGCGGUCUCACUCGCUGUAAACAAGGGUUUUGUUUCAGAUGCAUUGAAUGCGCUUGCCUGAUUAAAAGCAUUUUAUGUGUAAUUUAAUCUAUAGAUUAAACUCGUUGCGUUUAUAUUUUGGGUGCAUCUGUUUGCGCUUACAUGAUUUACUAAUAAUUGUAUAUUUUAAUUGAACUGUCUUAAUGGAUUAAGCAUACAUAUUUUUUCACGUUAUUCCUCGAAUAUCCCAGGGGGCUAGAUGUUUUGCCAACAGUUUGACAAUUUGUUAAAUGUGCACAAAAUUCAUAUGAAGGGUGAUUAACAGUUGACUUCUGAAAUUAAAUAAAAAUAACAAGAUAAGAGGUUAUCUUAUAAGAGGUUAUCUAUGGAGAAAUGAGUGCUUGCAGAAUAUGUCAUCUUUUUUUGAUGAAUGCUUCAUUCGAAUCAGCAUUACUUUUUUGUUUCUUCAACUUUAAAGAUGAAUAUUCUCCUUUAGAGAUUGGCAUUUUAGAGAUUUUCAGCAAUAGCACAUCAUGUUAAAAUUUUUGAUUAUUUAUAUGCAUUUAAUAAUAGGCUACCGUAAGAUCAUAAUGUACACACCGUAAAAAUGAUUCAGUGGCUUUGUAAAUAUCUCUAAAAUAAAUGAUUAAAGUAACUUUAUUUCAGUUAAUGUGAUUUUUUUUUGUUGGACAAACCAAAAUAAAUUACUAAAAAUAGAACAGAUAUUUUGAGUAAAAUGUACAUAUUUUAUUUGAUGUAUACCCCUUAAUAAUAUAAGUAUUACAUUUACAGAUUAUUUUAAUAAAUAUAUAACUCUGACCUUCUUAAAUAUAUUGAAGUUUUUAAAACUGUAAUAAUUGCACAUUUCAAAUUAACAUUAUUUCUAUUUAACAUCAACUUGUGUAAAAAUGUGUAAGUUUUACGCCUAACUUGAAGUAUGAUUUACUUAUAUUUUUACAUUGAUAUUAUUUGAGUAAAUGUAGACAAAAAAAUAAAUGAAUAAUAAGUAGAACAAAUGUUAAUUUAAAAAAAUCCCAUAGCCAACGGUUUUUAAUCAGCAACAAAGAAACUGCGCCUUUUGCCGAUGACAAACACCUCAGAAACUCCUCAAAUUUAUGAAUAUUUACACACACAAUAUGAUUUUAUUUCCUUACUACAAAAGUAUAACAUAUUAGACAAAUUCUCAGUGAAAUGUAUUUAACACCAUUGCAUACUUUUUAUCGUGUUGCAUACCAUGUAAAGGGAAACAUGAUAAUAUAAAAAGUAGACUAUGUACAGUAAUGCAGAAAAGCGCAUCACAACCAUCUUAAAGCUAUUAAAACGUUCAGAUGCAAAAAUGAACUAAAUGUAAAAUUAGAUAAACUAGUUAAUGAUAUUGCGUAAAUGCUCUCUUCAAAGGUCUUCGCAAAUUAUUUUGUUAUAAGACUCAGUUAUCAUACAUCACGUCUCUUCUACUGUAAGUGCACGGAAAAAAAUAAGACAAAUGAUGCGCGUUUGAGUCGGACUUUUAUGAAGAAUAUGUGACUUUUAUGUAACUGGCAAAAGAAAACUUCGCCAACGCAAUGUAUAGUAGCGGAGUGGCCAUCGGGAGAGUCGGGACAUUAUCAUCAAAAACUUUUAUGACAAAAAUUAUAUUUAAAUGAAAUAUUCUUACAGUUAUUAAAAGAUGCACAUAUUAUUCCAUAGCCUAUUACUCCCGUUUAUGAGCACGAUCAUCUCUUGUCUCGCUCUGUUAUGUUAUAGCUGUUUGAUAGCUGCGCAUCUCCGUCUUUCAAACAGGUAUCAUUUUGUGUAGUUACUCAUUUAGGAAAAUUAGCCAUGAUUUAAUGAUUUUAUUAUUAUUAUUUAUUUUUUUUUUGUUGCAGAUUACGAUAUGUAUUACCCCAGUUUUACUACCAAUACGAGACCGUUUUUUGUUUUUACCACGGAGGGCCGGUGGUAUACGAAAUUUCCCGGUAAAUUUUUUGGUCCCACUCCACCCCUGGCAAUGUUUGCCAAAAAGCCUGCAUUUGUAUGACAUCAAAGUCUUUCGCCUAAACACUGAUAAUCCGUGUCAUGUUACUUCAAUAUCAUACAGUUUACGCUCAGCAUGAAGUUGAGCGCACAAAUUGCCGUCAGUAUGGUCUACAUGAAACACGACUGCCCUCUACAGGUUUUUUUAUUUCCAGCGUCCCCCACCGAACACCCAUUCUGCAGAAUGCCGCAGAAUUUCGGAAGUGCUCGCGGCAUUCUGCUCUCAGAGACGCGCAUUUUUAAAGGGCACAUCUGUAUGAGGAUCCGGCUUACUUCAUACUCGUCAUGGAGCGGCCUGAUCCUUGCAUGACCUUGCAUGAGUUUAUUAAACUUCAACGAGGUCUGCUGGAAUCAACAGCACGCACCCUAAUGCGUCAGGCAGUCAUGGCUGUAAAACAUUGCUUUAAGCAUUAGAUUUUUCAUACUGACCUCCACGCUGGCAACUUCCUGGUGGAUAAAAACAACAUGCUGCUGAAGCUGAUCGACUUUGGGUGCUGUGACCGAUUAAGAGACACGACCUAUGCAUAUGAAGAGUAUAUGGGGGCACCGGCUUAUCGGCCACCUGAGGUCCGCAACAGGGACAGAUACCACGCCAUGUCAAGCAGUGUCUGGUCUCUGGGAACUCUGCUCUAUUAUAUGGUUAAUGGAAACUUGCCCUUUCCCAAAUAUGGGCCGGUAACUGAAGGCAUGAUAAACCACGAGAAUUACUAUUUAACAAAGCAGAUUCAGGAUCUGAUUGAGAAGUGCCUGUCCAUUGAUCCAGCUAAACGACCAACGCUAGACCAGAUGUUAGAACAUCCCUGGUUUAAAAUGGGUGAAGAAGGAGGGAUGGUAGGCCAUUUAGUCCAACAUUAUUAUGAAAUAUGAGGUAUUGCAGUGGUUCCCCUGUCUGUAUUUGGUAUAAUAACACCUGCUAAAUCUGCUUCUUCUAGUCAGCUGAAUUGCGUCAGAUCAUGGAUGAACUCACCGACAAAGCCAGUUAGACCAUCAAGAAAGACAGUUUCCAAUAAGGAAGUCAGUAAGACCAUUUAGGAAGUCAGACAGACAAAUUAUCAUUGAUGUGUAAAUUCUAGAGCAGUGGUCUCCAACCUUUUUGUGAGCAAGGGCUACCACAAUGGAUAAAACAUUGUGUUGGCCCUUCUGGGGGGCUACUUUUUGUUAUAUUUAAGACUGGCAUCACAUCAGGUGAGAUUGAAGUGGACUGUGUAACUUUAACGCACAGUAAUUGUGUGGAUUUUUGGCACCUGCAAAUGUGAUAACCAUUUAAUGAAGGUCAAUAAGGUUUUAAAGUAAAAUUGGGUGAAUUUAAAGCAUUAAAGGCGGAGUCCACAAUGUUUGAAAAACGGUUUGGAAAAGGAGACGGGCCGACUACCAAAACACACUUAUAGCCAAUCAAAUCAAAUCAAAUGCCGGGUUGCGUAUGUGUGGGGCGGGUCUAUCAACAGAAGGUCCAGAUUCUAUUGGGGUAGGGGCGUGUUUGUUUAGGUGAUUUCAAAUAUCAACAUUUGCUUUCAAACAUCAUGGACUCCACCUUUAAAGGGAUAGUUCAUCCAAAAAUUAAAAUUCUGUCAUCAUUUUCUCAUCCUCAUGUUGUUCUAAACCGGUAUAGACGGUUUCAGCAGUAACAACAUAAACACGCGGCUUUCGUGGUCAUCACGUAACUAACGGUAAACUCUGUGAAGAAUAAAUAACAACAAAGUCCUUUUAAAGUAGUUUAUUUAUAUAACAAACAAAAAAUAAACAACACGUAGAUUACAUAGGAACCCAAAACAUUUGUUAUUUUCGACGAGGUAUUUGUUUAAGAGUUCAGUUUCAGCAACUAGUCAGACCAUUUAAGAAACAGAAAUCGGAAGUAAAGUUCUGACCAGACGCUUAUCGCGUCACCGCACGUGCAGUGUGUAUUUUUUUCUGAUAUUUUGAGAAAUGAUGGUAAGCACACAGCUCAUUACAGUAACCAUUGACUUCCAUUGUAGGGAAAAAACAAUCAUGAGCCCCAUUCACUUCCAUAAUAGGAGAAAAGAAUACUGUAGAAGUGAAUGGGGCUCAUGAACGGUUUGGUUACACACAUUUCUCAAAAUAUCUUCCUUCAUGUUAAAGGGAAACUUCACCCAUUUGCAUUAAGCUUUGUACCGUUAGAACCCCAGUCAUGUUUUUGAAUGGUCGUGCACCAUUCCCUCAGUUUCCCCUGAGAGGGGAGAAAUACUGAUUUCAGUGAGGCACUUCCUUCUUUCAAUGAUGUAAAAAUCGUCAUUUUGCGUCAUUGAAAGAAGGAAAUCCUGUAUCUCUAUUGAGUGUGAAAGACUACAGACACUCAUUCCUCAUUUUUCCAAGGUGGGGGCUAUGGGUGGGACCUACUCACGCUUCAGACCAAUUACAGAUAAGUGGGUGGGACUUACGAAAAUAUACGAACACAGACCGAAAAAAAACGACCAGCCGCCAUCUUUAUGCUAAGCUAAGCUAAACAGAAGUUGUGGAUCGAGCCAGAAUUCAUGUUACAAUAACAGUGGAAGUUAAUCAAUAUUACAUGGAAGAGGGUGAUUUUACAAGCGUGAUGCUCUAAUCCGCUGUGCAUUGCACCGUUAUGAGCCACAAUACAGCAAAGAGCUGAGGCAGAUGUAGGAACAGAAGCCCGAGGAGAAGCCGGAGCCUGGGCGUCGGCUGGGUAGAGGAGCCGGGGGAAGACACCGCUACCAUCGGCCUCUGCUGCGUAGAGAAGCUUGCCUGUUCUCUCGCUGUGUGGCUUCUUUAUAACAUUUCUGCAUCAGAUAAGGAUAUGGACGUUUGUUUGGUGAAGGUUUCUAUGCAAGAGAGGAACUUUGCGACCGUUAGGAACGUUUAUUUCACGGACAUGUUUCGGUUUACGAGCAGACGCGCUGCGGAGUAGGCUAUAUAAGCUUGGACGGACUCGCACCGUUUGCUUUCGGUUUAACAUUUCUGGAUCAGAUAAGGAUAUGAACGUUUGUUUUGUGAAUGUUUGUGGUCGCGUGCUUAUUUCAAAGACGUGUUUCGGUUUACAAGCACAAGCUCCAAGCUCCCAGAGCUGAGGCAGCGCGUCUGUGGAGAUAUUAUGCAGGGGACGCGUUUGUGUGGAGGAUGCAGGGAUAAACGAACGUCUGACUAAAGUGAGUGUUUAUAUUUUCUUUGUUAUACUAACGUGGCAUUUAUGUACACAAUAGCAUAUCUGAGCGGUGUUUUAUAUGUCUAUAUUGUGAGAGCAGUGAGAGCACAAAUGUAAUUACAGUAAACAAGAGACAAAAAGAAAAUUGGUAAAACUAAAUAAACAUUUAAAAUGAAUACCCUUUUUUAAGUACUUGGAAAGACAUUUGUACUGCGGAUCUGAAACCGCACGUUACUGUUUGAAUAAGACUUUGCUACACACCAGGCCAGAGUGUUAUUGUGUGUACCACAAUGUAACAUCACAUUUAAAAGUAAAUCAUGAUUGGUGUCUGUCAGACACAGUGGUGAUGGCUAUUUUCUUUGUUUUACUAACGUGACAUUUAUGUACACAAUAGCAUAUCUGAGCCGUGUUCCGAUUAAUGGGAGUGGCUUGCAGAGCUGUGCAUUGUGGUGCAUAGUGGCAGUUGUAGUUUUUCAUAAAAAUGUGCUCUAAAGUCACAUUUUGUCUUUUCUCUGUCAAAUAGCCACAAAAUUCUACAUUUAUGUUACAUUUUGACUACAAAUAUGACUCACUUUCCAUAAAGAUUAAUGUUCCUAUCGGUGAAAUGGCCCUUUAAUCAGAACAAAGACAUUUAGACAUGUUUGUAACAAAAUGAGAGUGAGAAAAUGAUGGUAAACUAUCCCUUUAAAUGAUUCUUAACUCGCCCUUUGCAGCAGUUUAGAUUAAGAUAUCUGUGAUAUAAUGCGCUGUCAUGCUAAACUCAUAGAGAGAGGAUGAGAGAGAGCUUUGGAAUGAACAAUGAAUCACUGUUUGUUUGUUUGUUUGUUUUUAGGGAAAAAACAGCAAAAUCUGUUAAAAGACAUUGGGGAAGAAGAUAAAGAGCCCCUUUGUUCACUGCUUAGGGAGGAACAAAGUGGUACCUUUCAUACCCUCCCCAUAGCUGAAACCGGGAAAUCCGGGGAAGGCCAAUGAUGAUCUGGACAAAUCACAGAUGAAGACCAGUUCCGGGAUGAAGACUGAUGAUGAUAUUGCCCAUCCCGUGGCACUAAUCACCUACAAAGCUUUAAAUGGCCUAGCACCCUCAAAUCUUGGAGAACUACUAUCAACCUGCAUUUUAUACUUUUUAUUUUUUUUUGCAACACAUACCAACGAACAGAACAGACAGGUCACUGGGGUAUCACAUACAGAUAAGAUGUUCAUGUACAAUUAACUUUAUGUCAGGGGUUGCUCUCCAAAUAAUAUCGGAAGAGAGAGAAUGAAAAAAAAAAAUAAUAAUAAUAAUAAUACAUAUAUAUAUAUAUAUAUAUAU